GCUUUGUCUUAGUGUCCUGCUUCACCAUUCAGAGGUGCUUAACUAAUUAAGAACUCAAACAAGCCUUUGUUUCUUCUCCACUUCCACUGCUUCACUUGACCAGCCUUAA
rnacentral:sRNA from 1 species